rnacentral:rRNA from 1 species
UACAGAGGGGGGCAAGCGUUAUUCGGAAUUAUUGGGCGUAAAGGCGCGUAGGCGGCCAUUCAAGUGACGGGUGAAAGCCCUCGGCUUAACCGAGGAACUGCCUGUCAGACUGGAUGGCUUGAGACCGGGAGAGGUGAGUGGAAUUCCCAGUGUAGCGGUGAAAUGCGUAGAUAUUGGGAGGAACACCCAGUGGCGAAGGUCGGCCAUCUGGACGGAACUGACGCUGAGACGCGAAAGCGUCGGGGAGCAAACAGG